AGUCGAUGAUGGGAGCUAGCUUGCUAGAAGAAGUCAUGGCGGACGGGUGAGUAACGUGUAAAGAACUUACCAUAUAGACUGGGAUAACAGAGGGGAACUUCUGAUAAUACUGGAUAAGUUAGAAGUAGCAUUACUAAGUAAUGAAAGGUAGCAAUACGCUAUAUGAGAGCUUUGCAUCCUAUUAGCUAGUUGGUGGGGUAAAAGCCUACCAAGGCGAUGAUAGGUAGCCGGCCUGAGAGGGUGGACGGCCACAAGGGGACUGAGAUACGGCCCUUACUCCUACGGGAGGCAGCAGUGGGGAAUAUUGGACAAUGGAGGCAACUCUGAUCCAGCAAUUCUGUGUGUGUGAAGAAGGUUUUAGGACUGUAAAACACUUUUAGUAGGGAAGAAAAAAAUGACGGUACCUACAGAAGAAGCGACGGCUAAAUACGUGCCAGCAGCCGCGGUAAUACGUAUGUCGCGAGCGUUAUCCGGAAUUAUUGGGCUUAAAGGGCAUCUAGGCGGUUAAACAAGUUGAAGGUGAAAACCUGUGGCUCAACCAUAGGCUUGCCUACAAAACUGUAUAACUAGAGUACUGGAAAGGUGGGUGGAACUACACGAGUAGAGGUGAAAUUCGUAGAUAUGUGUAGGAAUGCCGAUGAUGAAGAUAACUCACUGGACAGCAACUGACGCUGAAGUGCGAAAGCUAGGGGAGCAAACAGGAUUAGAUACCCUGGUAGUCCUAGCUGUAAACGGUGAUCACUGGGUGUGGGGAUUCGAAGUCUCUGUGCCGAAGCAAAAGCGAUAAGUGAUCCGCCUGGGGAGUACGUUCGCAAGAAUG
rnacentral:rRNA from 1 species